CAUGCAUGCAUGCAUAAGUGCAUGCAUGCAAAAGUGCAUGCAUGCAUGCAUGUACACAUGCAUAAUUGCAUGCAUGCAUGCAUAAUUGCA